AUUGAACGCUGGCGGCAUGCUUUACACAUGCAAGUCGAACGGCAGCGCGGGCUUCGGCCUGGCGGCGAGUGGCGAACGGGUGAGUAAUACAUCGGAACGUGCCCAGUAGUGGGGGAUAGCUCGGCGAAAGCCGGAUUAAUACCGCAUACGACCUGAGGAUGAAAGCGGGGGAUCUUCGGACCUCGCGCUAUUGGAGCGGCCGAUGGCAGAUUAGCUAGUUGGUGGGGUAAAGGCCUACCAAGGCGACGAUCUGUAGCUGGUCUGAGAGGACGACCAGCCACACUGGGACUGAGACACGGCCCAGACUCCUACGGGAGGCAGCAGUGGGGAAUUUUGGACAAUGGGCGAAAGCCUGAUCCAGCAAUGCCGCGUGUGUGAUGAAGGCCUUCGGGUUGUAAAGCACUUUUGGCGGGAACGAAAAGGACUGUGCCAAUACCACGGUUCGAUGACGGUACCCGCAGAAUAAGCACCGGCUAACUACGUG
rnacentral:rRNA from 1 species